CAGCCGCCACGGGAAUACGUAGGUGGCAAGCGUUGUCCGGAAUCACUGGGCGUAAAGCGCACGUAGGCGGAUACUUAAGUCAGGGGUGAAAUCCCGGGGCUCAACCUCGGAACUGCCUUUGAUACUGGGUAUCUUGAGUCCGGGAGAGGUUGGUGGAACUCCGAGUGUAGAGGUGAAAUUCGUAGAUAUUCGGAAGAACACCAGUGGCGAAGGCGGCCAACUGGCCCGGUACUGACGCUGAGGUGCGAAAGCGUGGGGAGCAAACAGGAUUAGAGACCCCAGUAGUCCCUGUCUCUUAUAC
rnacentral:rRNA from 1 species